CACGAAAGUAAGUGAGCUAAGUAAUUAUAAUUAUUAGAUUUUUUUUAUGUGGCAUAAUAGAAACAAAUACUUACUUAGGAGUGAUAGGCCUUUCAAAUUUACAGAUAUCUUGAUAUUUUAGAAAAUCAUUUAGUGUGAAAAAAGUUAAAUAGUGAUAAGGCUAUUUAAUAUAAUUAAUAUUUAUGUCACUUCUUUUCUUGAUUUAAUCAUCAAAAUCUUCUAUAUUAUAUUAUUGUUUUAUCUACAUUAUGAAUUUUAUAAAAUUACAUUGUAACAACUUUUUAUGUAGAGAAUGUAAUUAUAAGUAUUUUAACAGCUAUUAAAAAUGAACUCGGCAAAUUAACCUUUCAGCUGUUUAUCAAAAACAUAGCUAUGAGGAUAUAUUCAUAGUAAUUUCUGCUCAAUGAGAUAUUUAAUAGCCGCAGUACCCUGACUGUGCAAAGGUAGCGUAAUAAUUUGACUUUUAAUUGAAGUCCAGUAUGAAUGAAAAUUUGAAAGGUAACUUUAUCUUUAAUAUUUAUUGAAAUUACUUAAUAAGUGCAAAUACUUAUACUUAAACGAUAGACGAGAAGACCCUAGAAAUUUUCAUUAAAAGGUUUUUUUUUCUUUUUGUUGGGGCAACAAGGUAACAUGAAAUUUACUUUGAAUUUAACAAGAAUAUAUAUAAGGUAGACUAAAUUACUCUAGGGAUAACAGCGUAAUUAACACAUGUUUGCGACCUCGAUGUUGGACUAGGAAACAAUUGCUUAGAA
rnacentral:rRNA from 1 species